GACGAACGCUGGCGGCGUGCUUAACACAUGCAAGUCGAACGGAAAGGCCUGCUUUCCCUUGUGGAUUGCGGGUGCUCGAGUGGCGAACGGGUGAGUAACACGUGAGUGAUCUGCCCCCAACUUGGGUAUAAGCCUGGGAAACUGGGUCUAAUUCCCGAUAGGACUGCAGGGUGGUGCCUGUGGUGGAAAACGAUUUUCUAGUGGUUGGGGAUGAGCUCGCGGCCUAUCAGCUUGUUGGUGGGGUAAUGGCCUACCAAGGCGGCGACGGGUAGCCGGCCUGAGAGGGUGGACGGCCACAUUGGGACUGAGAUACGGCCCAGACUCCUACGGGAGGCAGCAGUGGGGACUAUUGCACAAUGGGCGGAAGCCUGAUGCAGCGACGCCGCGUGGGGGAUGACGGCCUUCGGGUUGUAAACUCCUUUCGACCGCGAGGAAGCCACCUGGUUGGAAGGGUGGUGACGGUAGUGGUAGAAGAAGCACCGGCUAACUACGUG
rnacentral:rRNA from 1 species